GAAAUGCGAUAAGUAAUGUGAAUUGCAGAAUUCCGUGAAUCAUCGAAUCUUUGAACGCACAUUGCGCCCCCUGGCAGUCCGGGGGGCAUGCCUGUCCGAGCGUCAUUUCUGCCCUCAAGCACGGCUUGUGUGUUGGGUGUGGUCCCCCCGGGGACCUGCCCGAAAGGCAGCGGCGACGUCCGUCUGGUCCUCGAGCGUAUGGGGCUCUGUCACUCGCUCGGGAAGGACCUGCGGGGGUUGGUCACCACCAUAUUUCACCACGGUUGACCUCGGAUCAGGUAGGAGUUACCCGCUGAACUUAAGC
rnacentral:misc_RNA from 1 species